UAAAGCUUCAAACUGGGAUUAGAUACCCCACUAUUCUUGGUCAUAAAAAGAUAUUAGUUUACCAGAGUACUACGAACUAAAAAGUUUAAAACUCAAAGGGCUUGGCGGUGUUUUAGACCUCUUAGGGGAACCUGUCUCAUAAUCGACAAUCCGCGCUAAACCUAACUUCUUUUUGUAAUCAGUAUGUAUACCAUCGUCGUCAGGUAACUUUUAAAAAACUAGAAGUUAGCUAACAAACUAUAUAAGUUUAAACGUCAGAUCAAGGUGCAGUCAAUGAAGGAGUGAGGAUGGGUUACAAUUAUUAAAUUAUAAUUACGAAAUAAUUAAAUGAAUAAAUAAUUAUGAAGGAGGACUUAAAAGUAAACUGAAUUAUAUAAGCAUAUUGAAUUAGGCUCUGAAACGUGCACACACCGCCCGUCACCCUCUGCAGUCAA
rnacentral:rRNA from 1 species